GAUGAACGCUGGCGGCGUGCUUAACACAUGCAAGUCGAACGGUGAACGAGGGAGCUUGCUCCCUCCGGAUCAGUGGCGAACGGGUGAGUAACACGUGAGCAAUCUGCCCUGGACUCUGGGAUAAGCGUUGGAAACGACGUCUAAUACCGGAUACGAGGCGUGGGGGCAUCCCCAACGCCUGGAAAAAACUUCGGUCCAGGAUGAGCUCGCGGCCUAUCAGCUAGUUGGUGAGGUAACGGCUCACCAAGGCGACGACGGGUAGCCGGCCUGAGAGGGGGACGGGCCACCCUGGGACUGAGACACGGCCCAGACUCCUACGGGAGGAAGCAGUGAGGAAUAUUGCACAAUGGGCGAAAGCCUGAUGCAGCAACGCCGCGCGAGGGAUGAAGGCCUUCGGGUUGUAAACCUCUUUUAGUAGGGAAGAAGCGAAAGUGACGGUACCUACAGAAAAAGCACCGGCUAACUACGUGCCAGCCGCCGCAGUAA
rnacentral:rRNA from 1 species